rnacentral:miRNA from 2 species
ACUGAACUCAAUCACUUGCUGC